GAGAUACCGAUGGAAGAGUUCCCGUGUUGUCGACAAGAUACAGUCUUAGUUCACUUGGUCUACCAAUUACGAAGGCCUGGAGGCCUUGGUACCAUGAGAAGCAGGUGAGCGGGUGGUACCAGGAAUAUGCUGGCCUAACGUUUGCAACAUUUAGGGGAGCUGGGCAUGCAGUGCCAUGCUUCAAGCCAAGCAGUUCAUUGGCGUUCUUUGCUUCGUUUCUGAAUGGACAAUCCCUACCUUCUUCUAAAUGAUUGAUUUGGAAGUGGUUUUAGCUAAUGUAUUCGUAUUAGAAGGUUUAAUUAAUGAUGUUUUUGGAUGAACAAGAGAAAUUUUAGUGUAUAACAUAAUGUUUCUACUCAAUUAUAAAGAUACUGUUUGUUGUA